UUGAUCAUACUCUGACUGCAUGGCAUCCAUAUGCAGGGCAAACUAUUUUACAGUCUUAUCUUGUAUAAUAUGACAUAAACAUUGAAUUUGAUUUUUUUAUUUUCACAUCCGAACACAACGCACGAACAUGAAGGGAUGCGUUUGCAUUUGCAACCAACCCCUCCGCAAACCCCCCUGCGGAAUACUGGCCACGGACCGGGGUGGGAAUCCCCAAGCUGGAAGACUGUACUGCGUCAUGUUAACAUUAGCUAGCUAGUUAGCAUGGAUACAGAGUGCACCGGACUAAAACUAUAAAACAUUUGCAGCCAUUAACUUAUAGGUGGUAGUAACACGGAAAUGACUCUUUCUGCGUCAAAAUAAGGAGAGUGUUAGAUAUAAAUUAACGGUGCGAAAUUAUCAAAGACAGACACAACAAUGAAGAGAUGACAAAGACACAGUUUGAAAAAUCGCAGGAGCCGUUGCUGUCCGGACGACGGAGGAACUUCAGCUGGGGCCUCCUCCUCGUCGCUCCUUCUUCCUCCAGCGUGGGUAGCCUGUCCCUCCCGCUCCACGGACGAACCCUCUGGCCCUGAUGGCGAGAGACUUCAAAAUGCAACCAGUCGUUAAGAUGCUCGAAAGCAGUUUGAGAAGAUAAGUAUAUGUGAUUCAAAAGCAAUCAAGUUGUUGUCACGGACGCCCAUUCGUACCAUAACAGACAAUGCGAUACUAUGCAGCUCGUCGGCGACUUUCGGCCGCGUUCGGCUCCGAUUCGACUGUAAGCAGAUUGCCACUCUGACGUAUGUGGCGCGAGACUCUGGCUUUCGGACUCAAACGCUCACAGCAAUAAAUCUUAUGGAGAAUCUCCAUUAAUCCAUUUAAAACCUAAAACUGGCUGCAUCAGAAGCGUUUCGGCAGUUUGCAAAUCCUAAAGAUUAUUUACAAGGUAAUAAAACCGUUAUAUAAAUGUGAAUACGUGUGUAGGCUUGUCCCGAAUUGAAAAUCUCAUGCCAACAAGCUGACCCAAGUUGGCAACCCUGCGUAAGUCGCCCCCCUUAUUUUAUAUGCAAAAAUGAUCAUAUGCAGGGGGCACAUAACUGAUAUGAAAGUACUCAUUCGUUGUCUAAAGCGAUACGCGUGGUAAUGUCUUGUAGCAGCGCAAAUGCGUAUUUACUUUAUGUGCAUUCGCGCUGUUAUGACAAGAAAUCAUUGUGUAUUUUAGCCUUCAUGCCGCGAAAGAAUUACAAAUUAGCCUAAAUGUUAAGAUGCACGGUAAUUUCUUGUCAUAACAGCGUGAAUGCACAUAAAAUAAAUACGCAUUUCCGCUGCUACAACAAGGAGUUGCCGCGCGUGUACGGGGAAUGCGUACUUGCGCACCAUGCAGUUAUGUGCGCUCCUGAUCAUAUGUAUAGUAUAUUGUACAAUAAAUGCUAUAAUAUUUAAGUCGUAUCGUUUGCUGUUUUUUAAUAUUUUAAUCAUCAUUUUCUUCGUUCAUUCCUGACGACAAUUGGGGCAGAGACUGUCAUACGCUCUCGGUAACACUCACAACCAGAUGUAGCACAACAGUGAAACAUUUACAAAUGUGACAAAAGGUCUUCUGUGUGUCCAUUAAUUCAUACAUAGAGUUUUAAUCCCGUUUCAUGAAAAGCUAUAGUUAUGUUGCCCCUGACAAUUCCAAAAUUCUUUUUGCAGCAAACUGACAAACCGAAUAAGCCCAGGACACUGGAAAAUGCUUGAAAAACAUGGAUGUUCCUCAACAGAUUGGUUCUGUGGACUGUGGCGCGUUCAAGUUGAUUGUUGUCACGUCACGGAUCGGGGAAGCAGGAGCAGGAAGAUGGAGAAUCUGGAAACCAGUUAGGAACACAGGAUAAUAGAAGUAGGGACUUAAAUGACUGGACGGGGAAAAUAUAUUUUGAUGCGGAGUUAAAUACAUAGAACUAAUGAAAACAACUGGAAACAGUGAAUGACAUGGAGAUUCCACACGAGGUUAACGAGGGGGCGUGGCACACGGGAGGAUCGGACGAGCGCGCGUGUCAAUUGUAAGAGAGACCACCUUGAAUUGUUGGACGUAACACUUGUGAUACAGAGAAUGUAUUGAAGUGUUUUUCCCCUCCCUUUUAUCAGUAUGCACUGUGCAUGGCCUUGGUGUGUCUUGAGUAUUACAAAAUGCACCAUGAACUGUCUAUAUUAUAUAUAUAGACGCCUAUGGCUUACUCACUGGGGGCUUUGGGUGAGGAUACUGUAAAGCGCUUUGAGACAAUGUAAUGUUGUGAUAAUGCGCUAUAUAAAAAUAAAUUUGUUGUUGUUGUUGUAUAUCUAUAUUAUAUUUUUAUUUAGGCCAUAAUAUGUGAUCUUGAUCUGUGGUUUUUCAGUGAGUUGGAGGGAUUUGACAAAAACAUCCUUUUAGAAAUGUGUGAGGAAGUAAGUUCUUUUCUUUUUGACAAGCAGUGUAUCUGUCAGGUUUGCAACACAACAGAUAAAUUAAAUAUUUUAUUUCACUCCUCAGGGUCAAGACUCUGGUCUCCAGCUCACCGCUCUGUGUUACAUUUCCAUGGCCAUUUUGUCUGAUAGUAUCAUUCGAUUUUUCUAUGCUAUAGUUUUUUUGUUUAAUCAUUGCACGGUAUAUAAAUUAUUAUAAAUAAUAGUUUAUUUUCCUCGUGAUGUAUGUGUGCCUAAAAGUAUUAAAUAGAAGUAAAAGUUUCCUCAGUAA